rnacentral:rRNA from 1 species
UAUGACGAUGGACAUUGCAAAGAGUGGCGAACGGGUGAGUAACACGUGGGAAACCUACCUCUUAGCAGGGGAUAACAUUUGGAAACAGAUGCUAAUACCGUAUAACAAUAGCAACCGCAUGGUUGCUACUUAAAAGAUGGUUCUGCUAUCACUAAGAGAUGGUCCCGCGGUGCAUUAGUUAGUUGGUGAGGUAAUGGCUCACCAAGACGAUGAUGCAUAGCCGAGUUGAGAGACUGAUCGGCCACAAUGGGACUGAGACACGGCCCAUACUCCUACGGGAGGCAGCAGUAGGGAAUCUUCCACAAUGGGCGAAAGCCUGAUGGAGCAACGCCGCGUGUGUGAUGAAGGGUUUCGGCUCGUAAAACACUGUUGUAAGAGAAGAAUGACAUUGAGAGUAACUGUUCAAUGUGUGACGGUAUCUUACCAGAAAGGAACGGCUAAAUACGUGCCAGCAGCCGCGGUAAUACGUAUGUUCCAAGCGUUAUCCGGAUUUAUUGGGCGUAAAGCGAGCGCAGACGGUUAUUUAAGUCUGAAGUGAAAGCCCUCAGCUCAACUGAGGAAUUGCUUUGGAAACUGGAUGACUUGAGUGCAGUAGAGGAAAGUGGAACUCCAUGUGUAGCGGUGAAAUGCGUAGAUAUAUGGAAGAACA